rnacentral:piRNA from 1 species
UGUGCGUUGGUGUGCUGGGCACGCAC